GCGUGUUAUGCUUUGAAUAAGACAUUCGACUGCAAGGGGCCACCUGCGCAUUCUCUUUCUAUCAAACAAUGCAAUGAUUAUAACUGCACUCUGGGAUGUGACAGCACACAAAAUUGUGAUCAGCAAUGUCAUGGUGAAUGUCUUCUGGAAUGUACAAGCAGACCGACACUUAAGCAGAAUUGCGACAACGGUGAAUGUGAUAUGGUGUGCCACGGUCAGAAUUGUGUGCAGAAUUGCAAUUCUGGUGCUAGGAAAUGCAGUCUGCGAUGUGACAGCAAACAACAAUGUACGCAGAAUUGCAACAAUGGCGAAUGUGAUAUGGUGUGCCACGGUCAGAAUUGUGUGCAGAAUUGCAAUUCUGAUGGUAGUAAAUGCAGUCUGCGAUGUGACAGCAAACAACAAUGUACGCAGAUAUGCAACAAUGGCGAAUGUGACAUGGAGUGCCACGGUCAGAAUUGUGAGCAGCAGUGCAAUUCUGGUGCUAGUAAAUGCAGUCUGCAAUGCCACAGCAAACAACCUUGUACGCAGAUAUGCAACCAUGGUGAGUGUACACUGGAAUGCCAUGGACCAAACUGUACGCAAAAAUGUAACGGGAAUCAAGUCAGCUGCCAGCCGAAGUGUCAAGUUCCAAAUGACCCAAUCCAAUGCGAGCACACUUGUUUCGCCCACGAUAACAAGUGCACCUCUACUGCUACUACGACGGAGAAAACUACUGUACCGCUCAGAACAGCCUCGGAUCAUCCUUGCAGGCAUUUUUGCUCAGAACAGUCAACACCGCUAUCAUCAUCUCCACCACCGUCUCCAUCCCUGACAGCCACGAAAACAUCUUCUUGGUCGUCUUCAUCGUCAUUGGCAUCAUUAUCAUUUUCGGCAUCAUCUUUAAAAACUGUAACAUCACCAUCGCCAACAGUGUCGACACCUUCAUCAUCACCAGUGGCAUCAGAGGACAGAAGUCUUGAAUUCAAUAAUAUUUUGUCGAUAACAGCCACGACAACAUCAGUAGCCGCGGCAUCAUUACUUUCAUUAUCGUCAUCUUUUUGGUCAUCUUCAUCGUCAUCAGCAUCAUUAUCAUUACCGGGAUAAUCCUUAAAAACUGCAUCACUUUCAUUACCACCACCGGUAACAGUAUCAACACCCUCUUUGUCACCAAUGGCAUCAGAGGACAGAGGUCUUGAAUCCAAAAACACUUCUCGAACGGAAGAAUUGGUGACAGUGUUUCUUUCUGCCUUGAACAAAACCAAUGUCCGGCAAGGGUCGUCAUUGAAGGUAUCCGUAACUUUUUUUACUAAACUAAAGUAGCUAAGAUAAUUAAAUUUAUAAUAUUUAUUUACUUCAGAAACAUUUUUGCUCUACAUCAUAAACUAGCCUACCCCUAAGGAAAAAGUCAGUUCAGUCACCGCCCGUCCA